UUUUUUGUUGAACAGGGGGUAGGGUUGGGGAGGUUGUAAAAUGAAUACAAAUAUUUCAACAGAGGUUGUGAAGAAGAAAGUGGUCAAUCUUUCAGAUUUAAGCAGGUCAAAGAGGGAGAAGAACGGCUGGAGAUGGGUGUCGAUCGGAGAAGGUUGACCGGCUGAGAUGGGUGUCGAUUGGAGAAGGUUGAACGGCUGGAGAUGGGUGUCG
rnacentral:lncRNA from 1 species